rnacentral:rRNA from 1 species
AUUGAACGCUGGCGGCAGGCCUAACACAUGCAAGUCGAGCGGAUGACGGGAGCUUGCUCCUUGAUUCAGCGGCGGACGGGUGAGUAAUGCCUAGGAAUCUGCCUGGUAGUGGGGGACAACGUUUCGAAAGGAACGCUAAUACCGCAUACGUCCUACGGGAGAAAGCAGGGGACCUUCGGGCCUUGCGCUAUCAGAUGGGCCUAGGUCGGAUUAGCUAGUAGGUGAGGUAAUGGCUCACCUAGGCGACGAUCCGUAACUGGUCUGAGAGGAUGAUCAGUCACGCUGGAACUGAGACACGGUCCAGACUCCUACGGGAGGCAGCAGUGGGGAAGAUUGGACAAUGGGCGAAAGCCUGAUCCAGCCAUGCCGCGUGUGUGAAGAAGGUCUUCGGAUUGUAAAGCACUUUAAGUUGGGAGGAAGGGCAGUAAGUUAAUACCUUGCUGUUUUGACGUUACCGACAGAAUAAGCACCGGCUAACUCUGUGCCAGCCGCCGCCGUAACAC